GUGGGGAAUCUUCCGCAAUGGACGAAAGUCUGACGGAGCAACGCCGCGUGAGUGAUGAAGGUCUUCGGAUUGUAAAGCUCUGUUAAUCGGGACGAAAGAGCCUAGUGUGAAUAAUGCUAGGAAGUGACGGUACCGGAAUAGAAAGCCACGGCUAACUACGUGCCAGCAGCCGCGGUAAUACGUAGGUGGCAAGCGUUGUCCGGAAUUAUUGGGCGUAAAGCGCGCGCAGGCGGAUCUGCCAGUCUGUCUUAAAAGUUCGGGGCUUAACCCCGUGAUGGGAUGGAAACUACAGAUCUAGAGUAUCGGAGAGGAAAGUGGAAUUCCUAGUGUAGCGGUGAAAUGCGUAGAUAUUAGGAAGAACACCAGUGGCGAAGGCGACUUUCUGGACGAAAACUGACGCUUAGGCGCGAAAGCCAGGGGAGCGAACGGGAUUAGAAACCCCGGUAGUCC
rnacentral:rRNA from 1 species